rnacentral:rRNA from 1 species
ACUCCUGCGGGAGGCAGCAGUGGGGAAUUUUGGACAAUGGGCGAAAGCCUGAUCCAGCCAUGCCGCGUGCAGGAUGAAGGCCUUCGGGUUGUAAACUGCUUUUGUACGGAACGAAACGGCCUUUUCUAAUAAAGAGGGCUAAUGACGGUACCGUAAGAAUAAGCACCGGCUAACUACGUGCCAGCAGCCGCGGUAAUACGUAGGGUGCAAGCGUUAAUCGGAAUUACUGGGCGUAAAGCGUGCGCAGGCGGUUAUGUAAGACAGUUGUGAAAUCCCCGGGCUCAACCUGGGAACUGCAUCUGUGACUGCAUAGCUAGAGUACGGUAGAGGGGGAUGGAAUUCCGCGUGUAGCAGUGAAAUGCGUAGAUAUGCGGAGGAACACCGAUGGCGAAGGCAAUCCCCUGGACCUGUACUGACGCUCAUGCACGAAAGCGUGGGGAGCAAACAGGAUUAGAAACCCUUGUAGUCCC